CCAGGACUAUGUAUCGCCGACCCUUUCAUUUAUAUAUGCACAUGCGGAAGCAGUUAUAAAUCCCCAGACAAUAAAGCAAUGGGAUAGAAAAGCAGGCCAUAUAUUUUUCUUACUGAAAAUUCACAACUACAUCUUUUUACAUGCAAACAAGGUCUGACAAGACAGGAUAGGAUUUCGGUCCUCAUUCGGGUCGUACUCGAUGUCAUACUCGGGGUCCUCCUCCACGUACUCCUCUUUGGGUUCCUCAACAGUGAUCUCCUCAUCAGAUUCAUGCUCCUUAGGCUCCUCAUCCAGGUCCUAAAAUGGUUAUUCAAUAACCACUGAGACAACGUCUCAGCAAGUUCUACCUCCUAAGACCCGAUUAGUAAACUAAUACACCUUAGGGCUGCCUAUGCACAACAUGAGUCAAAGAACUUACCUUAGCCUCAGAUUCCACCUGCAUAUUAGUACAGAUCAAAUAGGCACACAGGCA
rnacentral:lncRNA from 1 species